rnacentral:rRNA from 1 species
GACGAACGCUGGCGGCGUGCUUAACACAUGCAAGUCGAGCGGUAAGGCUCCUUCGGGGGUACACGAGCGGCGAACGGGUGAGUAACACGUGAGUAAUCUGCCCUCCACUUUGGGAUAAGCCUCGGAAACGGGGUCUAAUACCGGAUAUGACUCAGGCCUGCAUGGGUUUGGGUGGAAAGUUUUUUCGGUGGGGGAUGUGCUCGCGGCCUAUCAGCUUGUUGGUGGGGUAAUGGCCUACCAAGGCGUCGACGGGUAGCCGGCCUGAGAGGGUGACCGGUCACACUGGGACUGAGACACGGCCCAGACUCCUACGGGAGGCAGCAGUGGGGAAUAUUGGACAAUGGGCGGAAGCCUGAUCCAGCAACGCCGCGUGGGGGAUGACGGCCUUCGGGUUGUAAACCUCUUUCAGCACAGACGAAGUCGCGGCUUUUGUCGUGGUGACGGUAUGUGUAGAAGAAGCACCGGCCAACUACGUGCCAGCAGCCGCCGUAAUAC